rnacentral:rRNA from 1 species
AAUAGAUACCCAGGUAGUCCACGCCCUAAACGAUGUCUACUAGUUGUCGGGUCUUCAUUGACUUGGUAACGCAGCUAACGCGUGAAGUAGACCGCCUGGGGAGUACGGUCGCAAGAUUAAAACUCAAAGGAAUUGACGGGGGACCCGCACAAGCGGUGGAUGAUGUGGAUUAAUUCGAUGCAACGCGAAAAACCUUACCUACCCUUGACAUGGUCGGAACCCUGAAGAGAUUCGGGGGUGCUCGAAAGAGAACCGAUACACAGGUGCUGCAUGGCUGUCGUCAGCUCGUGUCGUGAGAUGUUGGGUUAAGUCCCGCAACGAGCGCAACCCUUGUCAUUAGUUGCUACGAAAGGGCACUCUAAUGAGACUGCCGGUGACAAACCGGAAGGAAGGUGGGGAGUGACGUCAAGUCCUCAUGGUCCCUUAGUGGGGUAGGGCUUCACACGUCAUACAAUGGUGCAUACAGAGGGUUGCCAACCCGCGGAGGGGGAGCCAACUCCCAGAAAGUGCAUCGUAGUCCGGAUUGCAGUCUGCAACUCGAC